rnacentral:rRNA from 1 species
UACGUAGGGGGCGAGCGUUGCCCGAAUUUACUGGGCGUAAAGCGCACGUAGGCGGCUUCGUAAGUCUGGUGUGAAAUCUCACGGCUCAACCGGGAGGCUGCACCAGAUACUGCGAAGCUCGAGGACGGGAGAGGAGAUUGGAAUUCCCGGUGUAGCGGUGAAAUGCAUUGAUAUCGGGAGGAACACCAGUGGCGAAGGCGGAUCUCUGGCCCGUUGUAGACGCUGAGGUGCGAAAGCUGGGGGAGCGAAAGGG